GAGGGUAUAGCUCAGUGGCAGAGUGCCUGCUUAGCAUGCACAAGGUCCUGGGUUCAAUCCCCAGUACCUCCA
rfam:Camelus ferus unplaced genomic scaffold scaffold2675, whole genome shotgun sequence.